rnacentral:rRNA from 1 species
AACGAACGCUGGCGGCAUGCCUAACACAUGCAAGUCGAACGAGACCUUCGGGUCUAGUGGCGCACGGGUGCGUAACGCGUGGGAACCUGCCCUUAGGUUCGGAAUAACUCCCCGAAAGGGGUGCUAAUACCGGAUAAUGUCUUCGGACCAAAGAUUUAUCGCCUUUGGAUGGGCCCGCGUUGGAUUAGCUAGUUGGUAGGGUAAAAGCCUACCAAGGCGACGAUCCAUAGCUGGUCUGAGAGGAUGAUCAGCCACACUGGGACUGGGACACGGCCCAGACUCGUGCGAGAGGCAGCAGUGGGGGAUAUUGGACAGUGAGCGAAAGCCUGAUCCGGCAAGGCCGCGUGGGUGAUGAAGGCGUUAGGGUUGUAUAGCUCUUUGGCCCGGGAUGAUAGUGACAGUACCGGGAGAAUAAGCUCCGGCUAACUCCGUG